rnacentral:rRNA from 1 species
GACGAACGCUGGCGGCGUGCUUAACACAUGCAAGUCGAACGGAAAGGCCCUGCUUUGGUGGGGUGCUCGAGUGGCGAACGGGUGAGUAACACGUGAGUAACCUGCCCUUGACUUUGGGAUAACUUCAGGAAACUGGGGCUAAUACCGGAUAGGAGCUCCUGCUGCAUGGUGGGGGUUGGAAAGUUUCGGCGGUUGGGGAUGGACUCGCGGCUUAUCAGCUUGUUGGUGGGGUAGUGGCUUACCAAGGCUUUGACGGGUAGCCGGCCUGAGAGGGUGACCGGCCACAUUGGGACUGAGCUACGGCCCAGACUCCUACGGGAGGCAGCAGUGGGGAAUAUUGCACAAUGGGCGGAAGCCUGAUGCAGCAACGCCGCGUGCGGGAUGACGGCCUUCGGGUUGUAAACCGCUUUCGCCUGUGACGAAGCGUGAGUGACGGUAAUGGGUAAAGAAGCACCGGCUAACUACGUG